GACAGAGGAUGCAAGCGUUAUCCGGAAUGAUUGGGCGUAAAGCGUCUGUAGGUGGCUUUUUAAGUCCGCCGUCAAAUCCCAGGGCUCAACCCCGAGUCGGCCGUGCGAACUGAGUCGCUUGAGCACUGUAGAGGCAGGCGGAAUUCCGGGUGUAGCGGUGGAAUGCGUAGAGAUCCGGAAGAACACCGGUGGCGAAGGCGGCCUGCUGGGCAGUAGCUGACACUGAGGCGCGACAGCGUGGGGAGCAAACAGG
rnacentral:rRNA from 1 species